rnacentral:lncRNA from 1 species
CUCCUGCAGCUUGGUCUGGUUCUCGAUGAUGCUCGUGAAUCGAUCGGUCAGGGUGCGCUCCCUGGUACUCAAGUCCUCGUCGUCGUCGCCGUCCUCCAGCGGCUCCACCACCGCCUUCAGGUAGGUGGUCCUGUCGCGCCAGACUUUGUCGUUGAGGGUCCUGUUGAUGCGAACUCGGCCGAUGACCUUGUGAGAGCACACGUACUUGACCGCGUCGUCCGUCUGCUCGCUCACCUCCUUCAGGUCCUCGAGGUAGAACACCGGCGCGACGGUGGCGAGCCGCCCGGUCUCCGGGUUGGACACCGGCACGGCGAAUCUGCGCGAUCCGUUGAACAGGAUGUCGGAGUACAUCUGCCGGUACCUCGGCUCGAAGAUGUUCAGGAUGUGGUCGCUGUGCGGCAGGUACGCGGUGGAACCGAGGGGAAAGAGCGGGAGGACCAUCGUCUGCGGGCUCGCCUCCGGGUCGAUCUCCUCGAUCUCCUUCGUGGGGUCCAGCGGGGGCAGCCAGGAGAGUUCCGCGAGGUAAUCCCGCGGGCCGUCGUCGUCGGCGGACUCGCCCGGGUCGCCGCUGCCGGACGCGAAGAGGCGGAAGGCGGCGGGGUCGCGGCGGGGAGCCUCGCGCCGGCCGAACGCCGCGGGAGGCGCCGCGACGCACGCGCGCGCGCGGAGGCGCCCAGCGGCGCCCGCGCGGCGCCACGGGGAGACUCCCGCGGCGAGCGAGGAGGACCGGCAGUGACACCUGCGGAGUUCGCUCGCGCAGCGGACCAGGACGGGCCCGGCUCGGACGUGCGCCGCCAUCUCGACUGCGUUUCGCGCGGUCUCUCGGUUACUCGGACUCGGAGAGUGUGCGCGGUGAAGCUCUCGCGGGGUUCGGGCGCGUCUUUCGCUCCCGAAGCGCCGGCAGAUCUGGGCGCGGGGCGUGUAGCCGGGGCGGAUUGAGACCAACGUGGCGAUCUGGCUGGAUAACCUUUUUAGGGAUUUUCGGGGUCGCUCCCCAGGGUGAAAACCCAU